CAUCCCGGGCUUCACCACAGCACCACUAGCAGCAGGCUGGGAUGGAGGCAAGCGAAGAGAACAAGACGAUCUGGGUGGGGGACCUCCACUACUGGAUGGAGGAGAACCAUCUCCGCACUUGCUUCGGCCCCAGCGGCGAGGUUUGGGUUUUCCUUCCUUUCUGUGAGACCCGGCCCGGUCCAGGGCCCAUUCCACGCGCCACGUGGAGGUCCGCAUGUCACAACCCCGUCAGAGAAAAAAAACCAUCCCCUGUUUUGGCUCUAAACAGAACUCCUUCUCUCUCACUCUCUGUCUCUUGCGCCCUUUUCUCUCGCUCUCUCUCUCUUCCUCUCCUUCUGUCUUCCUCACGCUCUCCUCCCUCCCCAAUGCUCUCUUGCCAAUGCUCUCCCUCUUGUGCGCACCCUGUCUUCCAUGCUCUUCUUCUCCUCCUUAAGUUCUUCUUCUUCUCUCCUCUUGUUCCUGGUUUCUUCCUUUCUUAUCAACAAGGAAAAAAAAAAAAAGAGAGAGAGAACGAGAGUGAGAAGAGGCCUCUGCCUCUCACUCGCCUUUUCCUUCCCCCUGUGCGUAGGUGUGUCGGUGUGUGUGAAUGAGUGAGUUAGAAAAUAUGAAAGAAAGAAAGAAAACAGGAUCCAUCUCUCUCUCCUCCUCUCCCUUUCUCUCUUGUUCCUCCCCUUCUUUUCCCUUCUCUUUUUCUUUUCUUGUCAUUACUUUGGACUGCGGCUGCUGCUGUUUGUGAGCUCUUCAUCAGAUAAGGUGGUUCUGGAAAUGGUGCACCUGGACAAUCAGAUGGAGAUUCAACUAACACAACAGCAAGUUUUUGUUGGAGGACUCAGACACAAAGGUUCAUGAAGAUGAUCUCAGGCAGGUCUUUUGUCAGUAUGAUGAAAUUGCCUCCAUGAAAAUUCCAGCUGGAAAACAAUGUGGCUUUGGGCAAUUUGUGCAUUUCUAAAUGCUUGAUUUUAUACUGUGAUAGUGGUGGACUCACCAUUGUUACUUUUGUUGGUUGCUGCACUAAAUUUGACCCUUUAUGUAUAUUGCACAUUAUCAUGUUUGACAGAAACAAUGCUGAAGAAGCAUUGCAGGCAUCGAAUGGAACAGUCAUUGGGAAGCAACCUGUUCGUCUUUCAUGGGGUCGCAACCCUGCAAACAGACAAAUAUAACUAAUAGUAUUAUUUCAGUACUGGACCAUUCAAACUGUCCUUUCAGCUUAGGUUACAUACCAAGCUAUAGAUACCUACCUAUUGUUAAUUUCCCAGAGAGCUUUCUUUGACUUGGAGUAUGUUCAUGAUCCAAAUCAAAUUGUGCUGUUCUUGGGCAGAUUAACAUGGGAGAUAUCUACUUUGCAAGUAUUUAUAUUUGAAGGGGGAAGAAAAGCAUUGUAAUGGUUGUCCUGCUAGAAGAUGAGCAGAGUAAGCUGUACACCUGAUGUUUGGAUUGCUCCAUGGGCCUUUCCAGUCAUACCCUUGAAAUUCAGUUGCUGGGUUGGUAUAAUAUAUAGAUGAGAUCAACGAUCGGAGGAGACCAAUGAUUUGAUUUAGAAAUCUAAUCCAUUUUUUUCAUAUCACUGUUUUUCAAGUGACAUAGGUCACAUUGAAUCAGAUGUUGCAUCUUAGAGUAUGGAUUUUUAGGAAAAGUUAAGCUAAUGACUCAUACCAUCCUCUUGCCAUAUUCUAUAUUUAUAACUAAACAUUCUUUAGGUUUUGUUGUUCUGGUGUUUUAUGAAAAGAACAUCCUAAACCUUUCUAGCUGAAACAUGAUAAUGAAAUUUCAGGCUCGAUUGCUAUCAUUUUUAUUUGUUCUAAUGUGCUUGUUUUGUUGUUUACAGUUAAAGAGGUGAUCUUGCUAAUCUGUGGAAUGGUGUUUACUAUGGACCACGGUUAUGCACUGGCUAUGGGUAUGCUGCACCAAUUCCAGGCCCAACCAUGUGUGCUAGCUCCAUAUGGUCUCAUUCCUUCAACGGAAACCAAGAAGAACAGGAUUUGUGAAGUUAUGGCUGCCCAUAUCUGGCAUCAUAAGGUUCCUCAGGCGCCUUUGAAUCAACCUGUGCAGCACCCUUGCUUUUUAUAUGGGCAGAGAUUCCCCAUGCUAUAUGUAUGUGCAGAGAUUUGAUUUGUUUCUUAGGUUUCACAAAUGGCCAUUAUAGAUCUAGUAAAUAAAAAUAAAUCAGGGAGCUGUUU